CUUGAAAUCUCCCAGUGUUACUAAUUGUAAUUUGCAGUGAGUGCAGCCCACCUAAGUCAUGCCCUUGGAAGAAGCCUGGGAGGGAAAGAUUCCUGUGGGUUGGCCACAACUUGACCUGAAGCUGCAAACCUCUGUUACACAGCCAGUCAGGGUCAGAGGCCUCAGUGGCUUGAUCCCACCUCAAGUCAUCCUGCUGGCGGCCAACGUGGUGUGGUUCUCAUGGCUUGAGGAAGGGGCCUGGCCGGGGAGAAUGAAGCCAGUUGCCAUCAACAGGCAUAAAUCCUGUCGUCACCAGUCCUAAGUCAGCAACACAUGUUGGGCCACUCGGUUCAAACUUGUCAUGUCCAUUUCUUACAUGUCCAUUGGUAAUGGCCAGUGAGGACAUCAUCGCCUGAGAUGCUUUCCUGCUCCAGGUGCGUGAGAUACACCGAUUAUUUCAGGGCAUCCAAUCUCGAUGGACUGCACUAUAUGAGGCUCUUUCUUCCAAGAUCCUAUGACAGCCAGACUCUAUCCUGAUCCACCUAGUGUGAACCUUAACACUCCUGGAAUCCACAAAAACACUAAUUUUACUUACCUCCCAGUGAUACGUAAAACCUGAGGUCAUGGGCACAAAUGACAGGGGGGAGGACAUAAGGGCAGGGAGGGGAAGAGACAUUUAUUGAAGUCAUGAUGGAGAUAGAGGGUUGAAAAUGUACAGUUAGAUUAGGGAAAAAUAUACUCCAGUUUUCAUUUGGGCCCAUUUUUCUGAGUAGGUUUAAAACUUUUUCUUCCUCCCUUACAACUUCUAUUUUCCUGUGAUAUCUCAUUACUCAGUAACAAGCAAGAAAUAUAAAUAACCAGGACCUGCAGAAAUCUCCCAAGUCUCAAUGCCAUUUACAACUACUCAGGCUUUGGAUUCAGAGGGAUUGAAUGAUAAUGUCUCAUGUUGGUGAGGCUCCUUCACCUACCACUCCCCCCUGGACCAACUUCCCUCUCUCUCUCAAAACAGAGCACCUAGCCCAUCAGCCCUUUACCUGUGCCCCCGCCAUGCUGGCUGUGGGAUUGUUCUCAGAUCAUAUUCAACAAUGGACCCUUCCUUCCCUGGGACAGAAGACCUCCAGAAGCUCCCAUGACACUUGCUUCUUACGCUACCUCCAUCCCCUCAAGUCCUCGCCAAUGAAUGAAGGGGGAGUUUCCAUUUCUGAUGAGAUGUCAGUGAGGUGGGAUUUUUCAAAACAUUAACUAUUUCAGGUAUUUUUUUGGGUUAAAAAUCUACUACGGUUUAAGA
rnacentral:lncRNA from 1 species